rnacentral:lncRNA from 10 species
AUGAGGUCUGUUGGGCAAAAUUCCAUAUAAGCAAAGUAUAAAUUAAUAAAGCAAAUGGUGAUAAAUUAGUACAAUUGACUUUCUGGAGUUUCUGACAAUAAAAGUAAGGAAAAUGCAAAACACAAAGACAGAGAGUAAAAAGAGAAAUUAGGAAAGCAUUCUACAUGUUUAAUAGGAAGACACUGGCCAUGUUCGUGCAGCAGCAGUAUGUCAUGAUAUGACAUACCUUGGAGAGAAGUUAACAGAUGAGGAAGUUGAUAAAAAUGAUCAGAGAAGCAAAAUACUGGUAGCGACACUCAAGUAAACCACGAAAUUUCCAUAACUUAUGUCAGCAAAGU